rnacentral:tRNA from 1 species
GCCGCCUUAGCUCAGGGGUAGAGCGCCCGCCUUGUAAGCGGAAGGUCGUCGGUUCAAUCCCGACAGGCGGCUCCA